UUACGGCCAUAUCACGUUGAAAUAGCAGUUCCCGUACGAUCACCGAAGUUAAGUAAUAUCGAGAUUGGUCAGUACCAAAAUGGGUGACCUCAAGGCAAUACCAGGUU